rnacentral:rRNA from 1 species
GAUGAACGCUGGCGGCGUGCCUAAUACACGCAAGUCGAGCGAACGGACGAGAAGCUUGCUUCUCUGAUGUUAGCGGCGGACGGGUGAGUAACACGUGGAUAACCUACCUAUAAGACUGGGAUAACUUCGGGAAACCGGAGCUAAUACCGGAUAAUAUUUUGAACCGCAUGGUUCAAAAGUGAAAGACGGUCUUGCUGUCACUUAUAGAUGGAUCCGCGCUGCAUUAGCUAGUUGGUAAGGUAACGGCUUACCAAGGCAACGAUGCAUAGCCGACCUGAGAGGGUGAUCGGCCACACUGGAACUGAGACACGGUCCAGACUCCUACGGGAGGCAGCAGUAGGGAAUCUUCCGCAAUGGGCGAAAGCCUGACGGAGCAACGCCGCGUGAGUGAUGAAGGUCUUCGGAUCGUAAAACUCUGUUAUUAGGGAAGAACAUAUGUGUAAGUAACUGUGCACAUCUUGACGGUACCUAAUCAGAAAGCCACGGCUAACUACGUGCCAGCAGCCGCGGUAAUACGUAGGUGGCAAGCGUUAUCCGGAAUUAUUGGGCGUAAAGCGCGCGUAGGCGGUUUUUUAAGUCUGAUGUGAAAGCCCACGGCUCAACCGUGGAGGGUCAUUGGAAACUGGAAAACUUGAGUGCAGAAGAGGAAAGUGGAAUUCCAUGUGUAGCGGUGAAAUGCGCAGAGAUAUGGAGGAACACCAGUGGCGAAGGCGACUUUCUGGUCUGUAACUGACGCUGAUGUGCGAAAGCGUGGGGAUCAAACAGGAUUAGAUACCCUGGUAGUCCACGCCGUAAACGAUGAGUGCUAAGUGUUAGGGGGUUUCCGCCCCUUAGUGCUGCAGCUAACGCAUUAAGCACUCCGCCUGGGGAGUACGACCGCAAGGUUGAAACUCAAAGGAAUUGACGGGGACCCGCACAAGCGGUGGAGCAUGUGGUUUAAUUCGAAGCAACGCGAAGAACCUUACCAAAUCUUGACAUCCUUUGACAACUCUAGAGAUAGAGCUUUCCCCUUCGGGGGACAAAGUGACAGGUGGUGCAUGGUUAUCGUCAGCUCGUGUCGUGAGAUGUUGGGUUAAGUCCCGCAACGAGCGCAACCCUUAAGCUUAGUUGCCAUCAUUAAGUUGGGCACUCUAAGUUGACUGCCGGUGACAAACCGGAGGAAGGUGGGGAUGACGUCAAAUCAUCAUGCCCCUUAUGAUUUGGGCUACACACGUGCUACAAUGGACAAUACAAAGGGCAGCGAAACCGUGAGGUCAAGCAAAUCCCAUAAAGUUGUUCUCAGUUCGGAUUGUAGUCUGCAACUCGACUACAUGAAGCUGGAAUCGCUAGUAAUCGUAGAUCAGCAUGCUACGGUGAAUACGUUCCCGGGUCU